ensembl:misc_RNA Metazoa_SRP Metazoan signal recognition particle RNA
GUGGGGCUCGGGGGAACGUGUCUGUAGUUGCAGCUACUCAGGAGGCUAAGGUGGGAGGAUGACUUGAGCCCAGGACUUCUGGGCUGUAGGCACUAUACCCAUCAGAUGUCUGCACUAAGGUCAGCAUCGAUAUGACGACCUCCUGAAAGCCAGAGACCAGCAGGUUGCCUAAGGAGGGGUGAACCAGCCCAGGCUGGAGAUGGAGCAGAUCAGAAUUCCCAUGCUGAUCAGUAGUGGGCUGUGCCUGUGAUAGCCAUUGUACUCGGCCUGGGAAACACAACAAAACACUGUCUCU